rnacentral:rRNA from 3 species
GGUUGACCUCGGAUCAGGUAGGGAUACCCGCUGAACUUAAGCAUAUCAAUAAGCGGAGGAAAAGAAACCAACCGGGAUUGCCUCAGUAACGGCGAGUGAAGCGGCAAGAGCUCAAAUUUGAAAUCUGGCCCCCUCGGGGUCCGAGUUGUAAUUUGCAGAGGAUGCUUCGGGUGCGGCCCCCGUCUAAGUGCCCUGGAACGGGCCGUCAUAGAGGGUGAGAAUCCCGUCUGGGACGGGGUGUCCGCGUCCGUGUGAAGCUCCUUCGACGAGUCGAGUUGUUUGGGAAUGCAGCUCUAAAUGGGUGGUAAAUUUCAUCUAAAGCUAAAUACUGGCCGGAGACCGAUAGCGCACAAGUAGAGUGAUCGAAAGAUGAAAAGCACUUUGAAAAGAGAGUUAAAAAGCACGUGAAAUUGUUGAAAGGGAAGCGCUUGCGACCAGACUCGCCCGCGGGGUUCAGCCGGCAUUCGUGCCGGUGUACUUCCCCGCGGGCGGGCCAGCGUCGGUUUGGGCGGCCGGUCAAAGGCCUCCGGAAUGUAGUGCCCCUACGGGGGCACCUUAUAGCCGGGGGUGCAAUGCGGCCAGCCUGGACCGAGGAACGCGCUUCGGCACGGACGCUGGCAUAAUGGUUGCAAACGACC